UACGGAGGGUGCAAGCGUUAUCCGGAUUCACUGGGUUUAAAGGGUGCGUAGGAGGGCAGGUAAGUCAGUGGUGAAAUCCCCAAGCUUAACUUGGGAACUGCCGUUGAUACUAUCUGUCUUGAAUACCGUGGAGGUGAGCGGAAUAUGUCAUGUAGCGGUGAAAUGCUUAGAUAUGACAUAGAACACCAAUUGCGAAGGCAGUUCGCUACACGAAUAUUGACUCUGAGGCACGAAAAGCGUGGGGAUCAAACAGG
rnacentral:rRNA from 1 species